rnacentral:rRNA from 1 species
AUGCUGUUGUAGUUAAAAAGCACAUAGCUGAUGAUAAUGGAUCACCUUUAGCUAUCGACUGCGUUUAGUGGAAGAGGCUCUUGUGUGGCACAUAAAGGCUAUCGGACAGCACCUGUGGUGCCUUCAGUCGAUCACUGCUGAAGAACUCGAUAGAAGGACUGACUUUGAAUAAAUUAGAGUGUUUAAAACAAGCUUAUAAGCUUUGAAUAUAUUAGCAUGGUAUUACAGAAUAUGAUUGACCUGCUUCGAGAGCUUUGUGGUUUCAUUACUAUGAGGUGGGUUAUAUAAUGAGCGAUAGAGACUGGUGGGGCGAUCUUUAUUUGUUGUGAAGGGGUGAAAUCCUAUGAUACAACGAAGAAACACAAAUGCGAAGGCACCUCGCUAAGAUGUUUUUAUUAGUCAAGUACGAAAGUUGAGGGCGCGAAGAUGAUUAGAUACCAUCGUAGUCUCGACUGUAAACAAUGUUGAUUUAGGAUGUGGGAAUAUUUGAAAAGGACUUUCCAUGAAUUAUACGAGAAAUCUAGAAUAUUCGAACUCUAGGGGUAGUAUAGUCGCAAGGCCGAAACUUAAAAGAAUUGACGGAAGAGCACCACCAGGCGUGGAACCUGCGGCUUAAUUUGACCCAACGCGGGAAAACUCACCAGGGCAGGACAUUAAAAGGAUUGACAGAUUGAUAGCUCUUUCAUGAUAUAAUGAAAGGUGGUGCAUGGCCGUUUUUAGUUGGUGGUUUGAAUUGUCUGGUUAAUUCCGAUAACGUAACAAGACCUUUUCCUGCUAGUUAGCAUUGGAGGGGCUGAUAUAAUUGGGAAGGUUCUCUUUGUCAAUGACUUCAGAAUCCCAUUACUUCGCUUCUUAGAGGUACGCUUUUUGUAUGUGAAACAAUUAAAAGGAAGAAAGACGAUAACAGGUCUGUGAUGCCCUUCGGUGUUCUGGGCUGCACGCGCGUUACAAUGAGAUCAUCACAUAGUAUACCAUAUCAGAGAUGAUAAAGGAAAUCUCAGAAACAAUCUCGUGAUGGGGAUUGUGUUUUGCAAUUAUCGCACAUGAACGAGGAAUGCCUUGUAGGGGUGUAUCAUUAAUGCACCCCGAAUAAGUCCCUGCUCUUUGUACACACCGCCCGUCGCUCCUACUGAUUGAAUUUUGUGAUAAGGAUAUUGGACUACAGACAUAUGUGUUCGUGAUGUCGAAAGUCAAGGAAAACAUGACGAUCACUCUUCGGAGUGACCAUCUUAGAGAAAUUUGUUCGAAUCUUGCAAUUUAGAAGAAGGAGAAGUCGUAACAAGGUCUUCGUAGGUUCCUGCGGAGG